rnacentral:misc_RNA from 1 species
GAUGAAGAACGUAGCGAAAUGCGAUAAGUAAUGUGAAUUGCAGAAUUCAGUGAAUCAUCGAAUCUUUGAACGCACCUUGCGCCCUUUGGCUAUUCCGAAGGGCAUGCCUGUUUGAGUAUCAUGAAAACCUCAACUCUCAUGGCUUGCCAUGAUGAGCUUGGACUCUGGGGGUCUUGCUGGCUUUACGGUCAGCUCCUCUCAAAUAAAUCAGCUUGCCGGUGUUUGGUGGGAUCACAGGUGUGAUAACUAUCUACGCUUGUGGUUUUCCGCCAGGUAACCUUCAGCAAUGGAGGUUCGCUGGAGCUCAUAAAUGUCUCUCCUGAGCGAGGACAGAUUUUGACCGUUUGAUCUCAAAUCAGGUAGGACUACCCGCUGAACUUAAGCAUAUCAAUAAGCGGAGGA